UACGGAGGGUGCAAGCGUUAUCCGGAUUUACUGGGUUUAAAGGGUGCGUAGGUGGUUUGGUAAUUCAGUGGUGAAAUCUUCGAGCUUAACUCGGAAACUGCCAUUGAUACUAUCAAUCUUGAAUUAUCUGGAGGUAAGCGGAAUAUGUCAUGUAGCGGUGAAAUGCUUAGAUAUGACAUAGAACACCCAUUGCGAAGGCAGCUUACUACGGAUAUAUUGGCACUGAGGCACGAAAGCGUGGGGAUCAAACAGG
rnacentral:rRNA from 1 species